GCUAUCCCUAGUACGAGAGGACCGGGAUGGACGAACCUCUGGUGUGUCAGUUGUUCCGCCAGGAGCACCGCUGAUUAGCUACGUUCGGAACGGAUAACCGCUGAAAGCAUCUAAGCGGGAAGCCGGCUUCAAGAUGAGAUUUCCAUGACUUAGGUCGAGAGGCUCCCAGCUAGACUACUGGGUUGAUAGGCAGGAUGUGGAAGUGCGGACUAAAGACGCAUGGAGCUGACCUGUACUAAUAAGCCGAUAAAUUGAUAACA
rnacentral:rRNA from 1 species